rnacentral:lncRNA from 1 species
CUUUUGGACCUACUUUGGGUCCUCCUCAGUGCGUCUCCUGGGAGCUGACUGUUCUGAGCAGUCAAAUCGUGGAGCAUCUGUUGUGGAGGUUCUUGGAAUACACAGGAUUUUUAAAUUAAACAUCCAAAUAUAUGCAUAAGGCAGAUAUCGCAGCAGGUAGAUUGACCACUGUCCUAUCGAUCACAGCAUAUGAACAGGAUGUGAUGAUAGACUGGCCGGGCGUUGGCAUAAUAAGAUGUGUUAUUGGCUCUAAAGGUCUUACUACAUUUGAGGUGAUAGAUUUGCACCGGAUAGCGCGACAUAAAAACGUCAUUAAUACUGACAGCCCGGUGAGGCUCCCCUGCUCAUGGAAAUGGUGUGCGAGGGAAGGAUUAUAGAUAAAAGAUAAAAAUAAAAACGUGA